GGAGAGAUGGCUCAGUAGUUGAGAGCACUGACUGCUCACCAAGAGGACCUGGGUUCAAUUCCCAGUACCUGCA
rnacentral:tRNA from 1 species